UGCAACUCUGUGAAACUGAAAGUGUAUCAUACCUGGAUGAGGUGGCCAGCAACACAACAAUUCAAAAUAUGGCAAAGUCUGUUGGACUCGAGGUUCUUGCAUUGCUGGUAAAAGCUUGGAAUAGAUUCAAGACAGGUACUGGCUGCAGUCAUUACGGCAGGUGCUUCUAGAGAGCAUGAAAUCCUAGCUGAAAUAAGAGAUGCU